rnacentral:sRNA from 1 species
UAUUCUGCCCUACGGGGAAGGAUGAGAAGCUUCGACUAAGGUUCGACUCGAGCGCCAGCGAGAGAACGUUGCCACAGGCAACGGCCCGAAGGGCGAGGAGCGAUAGCGACGAGUUAUCCUUCCCCCAGCACCA